UUUGAGUAAACACAAACAUAUUUGACUCACUUUGUAAACGUCAAAGACUUGUGAAAAUUUCGGCUUCUAAGUUUAGGAGUAAACAUUGCUGUUAAACAAGUGCCUUAAAACGAAUCAUGCAAGUUGUGAAUAUAUAUGGGCAAUUGUUAGUGGUAUCUUUUAUCCUGUAGGCGAAUCCCGGCGCGUAUUUUCUUCGAAGAAAAGAAAAUUCUAUUGCUGGUGCAUAAUGGAAGAAAAUUUCUUCUCUUCGAAGAAAUUAAUCGCCGGAAUUUACCUACUGAUAUCAAGUGAAGCGAGGUCGGAGUGAAAAUUACCAAGUCCUGCAGGUGAAUUCCAGCGCACAUUUUCUUCGAAGAGAAGAAAUUUUCUUCCAUAAUCCACCAGCAAGAAAAUUUUCUUUUCUUCGAAGAAAAUACGCGCCGGAACUCGCCUACUGGUUUUGAUCGAACAACCGCAAAAAAAUAUAUAUAUAAACAUCUAACCGGGAAGGCUACUCGUUCCGUCAAACUACAUCCUCCAAUGUCUUUCAUCAAUCCCCCAGAGAUUUACAACACCCGGGGAUACAUUCCAGAGCAGCAAAAGCUUCGACACAAAUAUCACAAUUUUUACUUAAAAUCAUGUACUAUCCCAACAUUAAUGUUUAAGAUAAUAAAAUAAAUGUUAUGCUUUUUGUA
rnacentral:lncRNA from 1 species